UAGUGAUAGCAGAGGCUAGAGAUGACAGUUGAGGCCUUCAGAAUUCCUAAGAAACAACUGCUAGUCUAGAGCCAGACCAGCACUAGAGGAAAAAAGAGGCAGGGCCAAUGCUAAGCUCAACCCUCCAAUCUGGCUGAAGAGGAAAACGAGAAGGUCAAGUGACAGCUGGAUAUCAGCAAGCUGGUAGGAGAAGCUUGGCUGGCAUCUUCAGGAGAAUCGUAAUAGGACAGUAUUCCCCCACAAAGAAGGAACCAUCGAGGCUGCCAACCUAAAAACAGGGGAAAAGCAGGCACAAUUACUGCUGAAACUGUGACAAAGAAGAGCUGUUUUAGAAGCUCAAGGUUCCUGAAGUCUCAAAAGACACAUUAAGAAACCCAUUCCUGUUAGACGACAUUAAAUGCUGUGAUGGAAAGUCCGAUUAGUGCUGGACACACUGUUCUCUUUAGUGCCCAAUGCUGACAAACUGGGCCACCAUCCAGCAAAAACGAACUGUACAAGAAAAGAUGCAUGGACGGUGAGGUGGCUAUGGAUUUACUUCAUGUUUCACGAUAUUCUGCAGAUAGCCUGGAAACGAGAGAUAAUAAAGACUCAAGAAUCAAACUAAAGAAGAAACACAUGAGCCAUGUCUGAGUAAUGCAUGGAGACGAGUGCACUAUACAGUGUAUGACAAGCAGCUCAUCUGGACCACUCUGAGGAAGGGGAUGCCUCAUUAAACAAGCAUCUGAAAGACUUUAAAAUUUCUAUCAAGCAAAAUGUAUCCUUUAGGAAACAAGUCCAAAUUUCAACAAAUGCACAGGUCUCUAAUAGUACAAUAGUCAAGGGACAAACACUGUCCUUUCCCAGAUUUUCUUGGGCUACUCUUUAAGGUCAAGUCUCCCCUGGUAUCUUAGUCACUGUUCUGUUACUCUGAGGAGAGACACUAUGACCAAAGGAACUCAUUAAAAAAAAAAAAAAAAAAAGCAUUUAAUUGGCAGCUUACUUAGUUUCAGAGGAUUAGUCCAUUAUCAUCAUGGCAGGGAGCAUGGAGGCUGGUAGGCAUGGGGCUAAGAGCUUACAUCUGAUUUAAA